ACUUUUAAAGACUCCGGAUGCUUUUGGUUUCCCGUCUUGGUUCGGGGGCCCCCGCCCACCAGCCCACUCCACCGCAUCCGCGCUCUCGGGGGAUUUAGUGGGUUCCCAUUUGCUUUGAACCAAACCAGACAGUUGGCAGCUCAAACAUUAAAUUCAAGCACCCACGUGCUUCACCUUUCCUGCUGUAAUCUUUUGCCCGGUUGAAGUCCAAAAUCCUCUGAAAUCAGCUGCAUGGAUAAGGCAGAAAAUGGAUAUACAUUUGGUUUCUUCCAUAGGCACAAACAUUGUUUCAGCUUUGGUAUGUUACAAAAUGACAUUCCUGGAUGUCCUGGAUGAAUUAUAGAGAAUGUAAAGCUUCUUGAGUCGAUACCAGAGUCGAUACUGUCUAAAAAUGUUCAGCAUUCCAAACAUACAUUAAAGAUAACAAAAAAAUUUUUUUUUAUAAAUUGUUAAUACUAGUUUACUGAUCCUAAUGAUAUUGGCUUUGAUGUUUUUACAGACAUAGAAUGGGAUUGCUCAUGUUUACUUAUCUGGAAGUAAGGUCUUUCAAACACUUUUAAACUUCUUACUCCAUACGUUUAUAGCACUGGGCAGUUACUGA
rnacentral:lncRNA from 1 species